rnacentral:rRNA from 1 species
AAUUUGUAGAGGACGCCUUUGGCGCGGUGCCUUCCGAGUUCCCUGGAACGGGACGCCUUAGAGGGUGAGAGCCCCGUACGGUUGGACACCAAGCCUCUGUAAGGCCCCUUCGACGAGUCGAGUAGUUUGGGAAUGCUGCUCUAAAUGGGAGGUAAAUUUCUUCUAAAGCUAAAUACUGGCCAGAGACCGAUAGCGCACAAGUAGAGUGAUCGAAAGAUGAAAAGCACUUUGAAAAGAGGGUUAAAUAGCACGUGAAAUUGUUGAAAGGGAAGCGUUUGCGACCAGACCUCUCCCCGGCGGGUCACCUGGUGUUCUUCACCGGGGCACUUCGCCGGGGCAGAGGCCAGCAUCGGUUUCCGCAGGGGGAUAAAAGCUUAGGGAACGUAGCUCCUUCGGGAGUGUUAUAGCCCUCUGCACAAUGCCCCUGCGGGGACCGAGGACCGCGCCCCCGGGCAAGGAUGCUGGCGUAAUGGUCGCCAACGACCCGUCUUGA